GGGCAACAAAGGCUGUUAGGUAGUCGUGUUGUCACCUCCCACCCGUGUUUAUCGUACCUUGUUGCUUCGGCGGGCCCGCCUCACGGCCGCCGGGGGGCAUCCGCCCCCGGGCCCGCGCCCGCCGAAGACACACAAACGAACUCUUGUCUGAAGAUUGCAGUCUGAGUACUUGACUAAAUCAGUUAAAACUUUCAACAACGGAUCUCUUGGUUCCGGCAUCGAUGAAGAACGCAGCGAAAUGCGAUAAGUAAUGUGAAUUGCAGAAUUCAGUGAAUCAUCGAGUCUUUGAACGCACAUUGCGCCCCCUGGUAUUCCGGGGGGCAUGCCUGUCCGAGCGUCAUUGCUGCCCUCAAGCACGGCUUGUGUGUUGGGCUCUCGCCCCCCGCUUCCGGGGGGCGGGCCCGAAAGGCAGCGGCGGCACCGCGUCCGGUCCUCGAGCGUAUGGGGCUUCGUCACCCGCUCUGUAGGCCCGGCCGGCGCCCGCCGGCGAACACCAUCAAUCUUAACCAGGUUGACCUCGGAUCAGGUAGGGAUACCCGCUGAACUUAAGCAUA
rnacentral:rRNA from 1 species